ACUGAUGGCUCCCUGUACUAAUGUCUCGUCUAGUCAUGCUUGAUGCUUGCUUACAGAAGGGAUCGAAUCAGAUCAGAGUCACAGGAGGCCGGGCCAACUGUUACGACAUCCAACCGUGCAAGGAGGCAACGUCGUGCCGAGUCGACGUAUAAACUCUAGAGACGCCACACGCACCACAAAUCAUCCCAACUCGCGAGCUUUACCGAAGCUCGCAUUUAUUCUGUAAGCUCCCCGCCACCUCUCUCCUCACUGCCAAGACAAGGACUCGGAAAAGCAUUCGACACUCUCCCAGCCCAGGGCCAGCCAUCGAAGCCAAACCACCCACCCUUCACGCCAGCGGCGCACGGCGAGAGCGCUGCCUUCCAGCUAGAAACAAACACCCUUUCGCGCGCGGUUCUGUCUCAUCAGUCAUGCAUCGGCGCGGCCAAGUUUGCUGCUCCCGCGUCGCUGCCGUGCUACUUGUCGUCGUCGUCAUCGGGCUAGGCGCGGCGGACGUCGGUGAGGCGGCCACCGGAACGUUCAUCUACGCCGGUUGCUCGCCGUCCAAGUACCAGCCGGGCACCCCCUUCGAGGCCAACCUCAACUCGCUCCUCACCUCCAUCGCCAACGCGGCGCCCAACGGCGGGUACAACACCUUCACGGCCGGGGCCAACGGCACGGGUGCGCCAGGCACCGCCGCGUACGGGCUGUACCAGUGCCGCGGCGACCUGGGCAACGACGACUGCGCGGCGUGCGUGCGGGACGCCCUGGGCCAGCUGAACCAGGUGUGCACGACCGCGUACGCGGCGUCCCUGCAGCUGGAGGGGUGCUACGUGCGGUACGACAGCAGCAACUUCGUCGGCCAGCAGGACACGGCCAUGGUGUACCGCAAGUGCAGCACCAGCACCAGCAGCGACGGCGACUUCCUCAAGAACCGGGACGCCGUCCUGGGGGACCUGCAGGGCGUCACCAACGGGUACAAGGUGAGCAGCUCCGGCAGCGUGCAGGGAGUGGCGCAGUGUCUGGGCGACCUCGCCGCGGCCGACUGCACGACGUGCCUGGCGCAGGCGGUCGGGCAGCUCAAGGGCACCUGCGGCACCGCGCUGGCCGCCGACGUGUACCUGGCGCAGUGCUACGUCAGGUACUGGGCCAACGGCUACUACUUCCGCCCCACACAAGGUUUGUCCUGAUCCAGUGGUGGCCACUAAACAAAAUGCCUAUCUUUAAGCAUAUCUGGUUUAGGACUGCGCGGCCGCGAUAGGCAAGCACAUUGUGGGAUCAGGCCUCGAAGGCGGACGGCGGACGCCAACCACUCCCCGUGCCGAUGAAUAUAUUCGCGAUAAACAAAGGGAGCAACUCCGCAAGUGCGCGGCGGCUUUGCAUAUGCUAUUGUAAUCCUGCGUCUGAUCUCCUCUGGCCGCAGAUUAUUCGCAGGAUGAUGUAGGGAGGACUGUGGCGAUAAUCGUGGGCAUCUUGGCAGGGCUGGCACUCUUCGUGGUGUUCAUCUCUUUUCUCAGAAAGACAUGCUAGCUGACCCUGGGACGAGCUUCCAUUCACAGAUGAUGGCAUGGGAACAAAGGGGACAGAUCCACUAGCAUAUAGCCUGCAAAAGCUUCAUAAAUCAUGUAAUCUGAUUUUGUUAGCAGUAGAUAUGGGCCAUCGGAGCACUACGGCACCUCGUUUCGGGUCAUCAUUUUUGUUCCACCGACAAUGGCCUACUCAGCCAUUAACCUGCAACAACAUUCGCAUAUGAUCUUGAUCAUUUCGACGGUUGAUUACACAUGGGAACAAAUGAUGAAAUCUAUGAUUCAUCCGUAGAGUUGUAUUAUCUCGA